GGGCAGGGUGGAGGGCAGUGGGUGCUGGACGAUCAUGCCCUCUCCGCAGAAGGUGCUCUAGGGUCUCUGGCACUCUCCAGGCCUCACCUGCUGGGUCUGGCGGCCCUAGAUUUUGGCAAUGCCCCUGGGUGGGCGGGUGGAGGGAAUUCCCUGCCAUAGGUCCAGGUUAAGUGCUGCAGGUAAGCGUCCUCCUCCUCCUCGGGUCCGUAAGCUCCUGUGCAGGGCCCCAGAGCAGCGGCUUACCCGGCCAGCUUAGCCCUAGCUGCUCAGGACAGCUUGGAGGCACCCGGGGGCACAGAUGUCCAGGCAGAUGUCAGUUGCCCAAUGGCCACAGCCCAAUGGCUGAGCCAGGCACCUGAGUGGCUGCGAAGGCGCCGGCCCUCUGCUUUGUUCUUAUUCCCAGCGUUCCACGGAGGCGGAGAAGCCACGCAUUGGGAAGAGGUGCACAGAGAGUUCUAGAGCCGGCUGAAGCGCACAGCCACACUCAGGCUGCGUGGAGUUGGGUUCUGCCUGGACUGCAGGGUGGGAGAGGAGGCAGACAGUACUGUGGUCCUCACCUCGGAGGGGAAGAGGCCUCGGGACCCUGGUGCUGGGCCACCGUCUCCCUGUUAAAACACCUCUGCCUCUGAUGUCCAGGAGGAGUCCCCAAGCUCUCAGCCACGGGUCAAGCAGGGACAGGGGUGACCCAACAUGCCCAGAUGAGUGACCUUUAUGGGUGUGUCCUAGAUUGAUUGAUGACCAUGUUAAUCCAACUGUGGGGGCUUAGAGGGUGGGCACUGUGCCACCAGCCAGUACCACCCCCCCCAAGUCAGGAGGUGAUAGUAGCCCUGUCCUGGUUCAGGACAGACAGCAGCUGGACUAGGUGGUAUCUGAGGACCAGUGCUGGUCACUGGACACCGGGGGUGCCCCAGGGCCCUGGGGUCCUGCAAACCAGCUGGCCACGUGCCCUGUCAAGGAAGAGCUUCCACUGUCCACACCCCGACACCCGUCCCCAGGCUGCCUGCCUUCACUCCCUGUCCCCAGGCCCACGGAGCCAUUAUCUGGGGGCAGAGGAGCCCGGGAGAUGACACAGCGGUUCUGCAUCAGGCCCAGUCCUUGCCCAGGGUGCAGCCGGCCUGGGUGGCAGAGUGCUGGGCCCUCCCAGGACCACAGGUGGCAGGCUGGACACAGAGAAGACCCCCAGUGCUAUGUGGCCUCUGCAAACAGGAAGCAGGAGGGCGCUGUGCUUGCCCAGGGGGCACCUAUGUACAGCCCCUGGCUGGGUCAGCUCAGCCGGGAGGGAGGUGCCCGGAGCUCCGUAGAGAGGGAGCCCGGCCUCCCACAGCAGCUGUAGGCCGCAGGUCCUGUUGCCCUGCAGGUAGCCGGUAGCCGGGCCCAGGCCGUGGGCACUGGUCAGGCCCACUCACUGGCUUCAGAAGCAGGAGGAGGACCCUCCCAACACAGGGAGAUGCGGGAUUCCUUGCAGGCUAGGGGAGUUCAGGCGGGAAGAUGAGCCCCCGCCCCAGCCGCGUCCAAAGGCCGUGCCCCUGUGAUCCUCGCGGUUCCUGUCCCAGUUGACCCUGCAGGCCUGGCCCUCUACCCUGGAUCCCAGCCUGGGGACUGUUCCCGCCUGGGCCACCCCCCUUACCCACUCAGGACACCUGUGUCCAGGUCUGUCCCCCCUCUGUACGUGGGGCCGGCAGGCUCAUUUCUGAUAGAGCAACAGCAAGGUCAGCUGGCCAUUCCCCCCAGGUGGUGUGGAGUCACCAAGGGUGCCACCCAGAGGACACUGGCCAACAAGAUGUCCACAAGAGGGGCUGGGGUCGUGGCUCAGUGGUAGAGCAGUUGCCUGGCACACGUGAGGCACUGGGUUUGAUCCUCAGCACUACAUAAAAGCCAAUAAAUAAAAUAAAGGUCUUGUGUCCAUCUAUUUAAAAAAGAGAGAGAGCGAUGUCAACAAGAGCCCAUGCAGGGGGCCCCUCUGCAUUUCUCUCCAGCUUCUAAUUCCCAGUGACAGCGGACUCUGAAGGUGGACUGCAGGCACGGCUUUCCCCAUCACUCACAGGCCAGGGGUAUCCAGCUCGGGCUGCCCAGGUGGACGAGGCAGGAUGUGGGUGGGCUCUGCCUUGGCCCAUCUUGCUGGCCCCGCCAGAUGCAUUGGCUGGAGCAGACGCAGACGCUGACCCAAGAUGCAGACACACCCUCUGGGACGCGGCUCCUCCAGUUUCUGAGAACAAUGGCUGGGCCGCACCCAGUUCUGCAGCCCUGGCUGUCAGCGCAUGGAGGGGGUGUGGGCAGGCUCGCCCUGCACGGGGUCAGGAAUGGCCGCGCAUGCCCUGAACUGUCCAC
rnacentral:lncRNA from 1 species